rnacentral:rRNA from 1 species
CCUACGGGUGGCAGCAGUGGGGAAUAUUGCACAAUGGGGGGAACCCUGAUGCAGCGACGCCGCGUGAGCGAAGAAGCACUUCGGUGUGUAAAGCUCUAUCAGCAGGGAAGAAAAUGACGGUACCUGACUAAGAAGCCCCGGCUAACUACGUGCCAGCAGCCGCGGUAAUACGUAGGGGGCAAGCGUUAUCCGGAUUUACUGGGUGUAAAGGGGGCGCAGACGGCGGUGCAAGCCAGGUGUGAAAGCCCGGGGCUCAACCCCGGGACUGCACUUGGAACUGCGUGGCUGGAGUGCAGGAGGGGCAGGCGGAAGUCCUGGUGUAGCGGUGAAAUGCGUAGAUAUCAGGAGGAACACCAGUGGCGAAGGCGGCCUGCUGGACUGUAACUGACGUUGAGGCUCGAAAGCGUGGGGAGCAAACAGGAUUAGAUACCCCGGUAGUC